ACCCAAACGAACAAGCAACCCCUCUUUUGGAAUCCGACCACCAGAUGAGACAACGGUGGAGCAAUUUUACCACCCCGGCGACCAGGAGGACUGAGAAAGGGCCAUGGUAGCUCCCAGUCAAUGGAUGUAAAAACAGAGCUUGACAUAUUUGGAAAUAAAGGGAAGGUGGAGAUUUGCAUCACGAAAUCUAUCAAUCGGAGGACUACUUUGAGACUCAGACACCAUGGAUCUAGCCAGAAGAAGAAGGUUAAGGAGUGUCGAAGAGCUAGCUAGGACCACCAUUUGAUGAAGCAAAGGCUAGCAUUAAAACUCAAAAGCAGAAUACUACUACCGGACUACAAACCUGCAAUAACAUUUUGGCAAUGACACAGCCAUUGCAUUCAAAAUCACUUUCUUUCAUUGAAGAUAAGAGAAUCAAUCUAUCUUGGAAAGAAGCAGUGAAACCCUUCCUAAUAGGGCACUUGAAGGAAUUAGGAGAGUUGAAGCAAGCACUCACAAAGCCAAAUCCUCCGAAUUCACGCAUUGGUUGUGUGACCACAAGUUGAUUGCAGUAGUGGCUGUCAAUAGCUUUUGCAUAAGGGACUUCGAGAAAUGCGGCUGAGAUUUUGCCACUCUUGAAAGCGUCGACGUAGUGAGAUUCGGUGGCAAUGUCUUCCCUGCUGUUGUACAACUCCUUAAAAUGAAAUUCACCGUCCAAGUACUUUGUUUUACUAUUCUUCUCCAGUACUGAGUGAAGCCUUGUGACGGUGAGCAUUGAAGUGAGGCUGGCAACGUAGCUUUGUAUUAAGAUCACCACCACAAUAAGCCACACCACCACCACCACCCGAGUAUAGUUGCUUUGAAUCCUUCCCUCUGCAAAAUUUACUCAUCGUCUAUAUAUAUGAGAAAAAAACUUGGCCACUGUGUGUGAUUCAUUUCAAUUCAUCUCAACCAACACUGCAAGGAGAUAACCUCUCCUGACUAGUACAAUAAAAAUAACAAAAGUUAUCUUUUAUUUAUUUAUUUUUUUAAAUUCUCCCAUCUUUUUCUUCUGCUUAAUCUUUAGAAAUUUGUUAUUAGUUUCAGGACCUUUAAUUUUAAGUACA